rnacentral:rRNA from 1 species
CGGGGUGAGUAACGCGUGGGCAACCUGCCCCGCACUGGGGGACAACAGCCGGAAACGGCUGCUAAUACCGCAUAUGCGCACAGCUUUGCAUGAAGCAGUGUGGAAAACUCCGGUGGUGCGGGAUGGGCCCGCGUCUGAUUAGCUGGUUGGCGGGGCAACGGCCCACCAAGGCGACGAUCAGUAGCCGGCCUGAGAGGGUGGACGGCCACAUUGGGACUGAGACACGGCCCAGACUCCUACGGAAGGCAGCAG